rnacentral:lncRNA from 1 species
CAGCACUGCGCAUGGGCCAGCUGCACACGGGUCAGGGAGGCCCGGGGUUUGAACCGCGGACCUCCCAUGUGGUAGACGGAUGCCCUAUCCACUGAGCCAAGUCCGCUUCCCUCAACAAGGCUUUGUGACUUGUUGCUAGCAAGUUAAAGAACAUCUCCUGGCAGAUGAAGGGAAAGCUAAGCCCAAGUCCCAACAGCUGAGAGCUUGGAAACCCUGGGGUGAGAAUCUCCUUUCCUCCUGAAAUCAUGACUUUUCCUCUUUUCCAGGCUCCAUUGAUGAUGUCCUUGGUGACCUCUUGGGGGAUGACAUGGCACCACCCGCGAAGCCUGUUAAAUUGGCUUCACAUGCCCAAGACACCACAGGUGCAGCUCAGCUGCUCCCUUCUUCAAGGACUAGAACAAAGUAAGCACAGGACUGGCUUGGGUGUCCACUACCUCUUUCAUUCCAAAUGUCCCCUUUUCCUCAACCUCCCUACUUCUCAUAUAGUGGGUACUCCUUUUUUUUUUUUUUUAAUUAACUUUUAAUUUUGAAUUGCCUUAGGACUUAACAGGACAGUUACAAAAAUAAUAAACACCCCAUGCAGAGAACUCCAACACAUCCCAUCCUACAUCCACCA